rnacentral:rRNA from 1 species
CCUACGGGUGGCAGCAGUGGGGAAUAUUGCACAAUGGGCGCAAGCCUGAUGCAGCCAUGCCGCGUGUGUGAAGAAGGCCUUCGGGUUGUAAAGCACUUUCAGCGGGGAGGAAGGCGUUAAGGUUAAUAACCUUGUCGAUUGACGUUACCCGCAGAAGAAGCACCGGCUAACUCCGUGCCAGCAGCCGCGGUAAUACGGAGGGUGCAAGCGUUAAUCGGAAUUACUGGGCGUAAAGCGCACGCAGGCGGUCUGUCAAGUCGGAUGUGAAAUCCCCGGGCUCAACCUGGGAACUGCAUUCGAAACUGGCAGGCUAGAGUCUUGUAGAGGGGGGUAGAGGUCCAGGUGUAGCGGUGAAAUGCGUAGAGAUCUGGAGGAAUACCGGUGGCGAAGGCGGCCCCCUGGACAAAGACUGACGCUCAGGUGCGAAAGCGUGGGGAGCAAACGGGAUUAGAUACCCGUGUAGUC